CCUUGGAAUCUGGGAUCAAUGUUAACUGGUAGCGACCUCUGAUUAUGAUUCCACCUAUCACUCUUUGGUAUUUGGGUUUCCGCAUAGCCCUAUGCCGUACCGCAAUUCUGUAUUUAACUUCAACCUCAAAUGUCCCAUCUGACCUGUCCUAGUUUUCAGCCAUUCGGGUCAGGAACUACUUUAAUUCAUCAGCACCAUUUCCUUUGGAAAUUCCAACCGUAGCUAUUAUCUUUUUCGGGAAUGACUGUUGCUCCACCUCUAAAGUAUCAUACUUGAAUAUGUCUUCUCUAAUUGAUUUUGGUAUUUCCUUCCGAAAGUGAGUUCACUGGCUAGUAUUAUGGGUAAAUAAAUUGCGCCACUUACAUUAAGGUCUCCCCUUGUUUCUUCUUCAGUGGCGAAUCGCGACCCUUUCGGUAUUCGGAUUUGACCAUCUGCUACUAGGAUGUCAAAAAUAUCAUCUACCUUGGAAGUUUCAAAUGUAGGUUGAUCUUUAUUUAGUUCCGCCCUGAGUAUGGGCUUCAAGUUGGGACAAGCGUAUGACUUUCUUUGGAUAAUUUUGCCUGUCAUCACCUUAAUUCCCUUCAUAUCGGCCAGAUCCGGGGUAUAUACAUGUGUCCCAAAAUUGGCCAUUUUUUGAAAUUUCCCUUUGAGAUUUUCGUUAUCUUCUUUAAACAAGGAUUCCAAAUGACCCGUUUUGGAUGCAAGUUGUGCUAGAUUUCGAAUAUCGUGGGCGGUCAGGGCUUCUUUUAGCCCGGUAUCCAUAUUACGGACCACCAAAUUGGUCGUUUUCCCUUCAUCAAUAACAGUCGGACACUUCCAUUUCAUCACCCGAAUAUGUUCUAUAAACUGAGGUGCGCUUUCUUCACUCAUCUGCCUUGUUUCCAGAAGAUCGGUUAAGGACACAAUCGGAAGAGGAUUAAAGAAUCUAGCAUAAAAACUGCUUCCAACCCUUCCCAGGUUUGCAUUUGCCCCGGUGGUAAAUUGGAAAACCAAGAAAAUUCCAUCCUUGUUAAUGAUAGACCAAAUAACCUCAACUUAUGGUAAGGAUUGUUACUGAUUUUGCCAAGUUGAGUGGUGAAGCGGCCCAUGUGUCAAUAGUGAAAAAACCAUCUUCUCGUGAGAGGACAUGAACAUCGGGAGGUUGAUAGUUCCUUGGAAUAGGGUGCUCGUUUACGAUUCUCUCCGAAAAUGGCCUUUGGCAUGUCAGCCAGUUGAGCAUCUGGGGAUUCAUGCUGAAGUGUACCCUUAACACAUGCACAACUUCUUCGGGAUCAAUCAUGUGCGGUGGAUGAUCAGGAAUAGGGAUGGAAUCUUGCGUGUGGCCUCCUAGCCACUCCUCUCGCAAAUAAGUUAGGGGAAAGAAAUCAGACUUCGCUCCAAAAGGGACAUUGUUAGGGUAAGUGAGAAGGAACUUCCCUCCGUCCAUCCUACUUGGGAUACUAAUGCUCGAGAUUGUGCUCUCUAUAUAGGGUGGUUCAACAAAAUUCGCCUGAAGCCGUGUAGGAGACAUUUAUAAUGGUGCAUGAAUAGACUUAAAUGUGAUCCUUGAAAAAGUCUGAUCCAACAUAUUUUGUAUUAAUUUUUGUUGGUCAGUAAACUUUUCCUGCAUGGUUUCUGUUUGCUAGCUGUUCAAUUGUUGAACAUGUGCCAACCAUUCGGGUUGUACUGGAUAUAUUCCCCCUGUAGUCGGGAUGGUAGGUGGAGUUAUUGUAGUAGCUCCGACGGUUGUGUUGUGGCUUUAGGACUAAGAACCUACCAUGUGGUUCUUUUUGAUAUUCCUUUCAAUGAUCCGAUCGAACUAGAGUUGUAUGAAAUUUUUUCCGGACAUAGGAUCAACAAUCUUGCCUCGACUCUCACUGUGGUCACCAAUUUGUUGAUGUGCAAAAUUUAAAACAUUAAACAAAGUAAAAUCCAAAAAUAGAUUUCGAACUUGAUAAGUUGUGCCUGAGAUUCCAAAUCCCUAACCACCGAACUAGGUUACACAAUAAUCGGAUUGCGAAGAGUAAAGUAAAGAGUAAAUUUCUUUAAGGAGACUUUUUUGUUCUUCUUUUUUUUGAUCAGCCCCAGAUUCAUAAUAUUUAUUCCUUUUUCGGUAAUCAUUUAAGUGGUUUUGAUUCAGCCACUAGAACAUAGAGUAACCGCUUGACGGUUACACCCUAAAGAACUGAACUGCCGCAGUUGGGUGGUUCAAACCGUCUGACAUACCAAACUAGUUUUCGGGAAUAUAGUAGCCAAGUUGUUGUAGUGUCUGACCUACUAUGCUCCCGACCCAAAAUUUCACCAUGCCACCGGCCCACUUAAUCCAAAUCAAUACCCACUGGGCUAUCGACCCACUCGGCAUUUGGGCAUCGACUCAUACCCCGUGGGCCCAAACUCUAAUUUUGAAACUGUAAACAUGUUCGUGGAUCAACACUAAUCUUUCACAUGCUCGAAAAAUAGUAUCAUAAGGAUUCAAUGUGAUUAAAGUCAUAGACGCACAAUUAAGAUAGAACAAUUAAGCAUACAGUAAAAUAUAUCAAGUUAUUCACACAAAAGACACGCAUGCUUAAAAAAGUUAUAUCAUAAAUUAUUUUUAAUCAUUGUGGAUACCCAGACCAAGUCUGGAAAUAUCGGACUAGCGUGGAGAGGUCAAUUUCCAUCCUCUCCCCAGCCUAGCGUUCACAUCAUUCCUUAGCUCAUUGACCUCGCCUCUAAGCCCUUCUAGCUGAGUCUCAAUGAUAUAUCUAUAGAAGUUAGUGUAGGUUCUGUGGUCUCAGGUUGCGAGCUAGUAGUGUCCACAUCCAUGUUUGUUUCAUGUGUUAGUUGCAAAGAAAUGAAUAUUAUUUGUGUUUGUUGUGUCCCAUCGGUUGGCGAGGUGGUGAGGGGCUUUGGAAAUGUAGGUAGCUGCAACGUCCUGUUUUUCAUGCAAAUGUUGUAAGGCCUCUUCUAUGCGAAUGUUUUGUAUAGCUUCCUCGUAGACGCUUUCCAACCGAUCUUCUUCUUGCCAGGCAUAGAUCUCUUCCAUUAUUUCGAAGUUGGCUGCAAUUUGAGCUUCGACAGCUUCAUUUCUAUUUCAAACUCCAUUCUCCUUUAUGUCUUGAGCUUAUCUUCCUCCUUUUUAUUUCUUCUUUCCCCAACCUUCUUAUUCUUCUGAAUGAUCAGUUGUUGUUUUGCUUUGAACUAUGCAUUUCUUUUUAGCUCUACGAGGCACGCAGCCUCUUACACUUCCUUAAUCAUUUGGCUUCUUCUUCAAGCCUUCUUGAUUUUUCCUCAAAGUCAUCAUAUGAAUCUCCUUGUUAAGAUGGUAGUUGCGGCAUUUUUUCCUACUCGGGGUGGUUGGCAAUUUGCAUAGGCGAUGAAGUGGUGGCGGAUUCUUGUUGUGCUAAUGGCAGUUGCAGAUCCUUGUCACCCUGGGAUAAAUGUUGCUACUUUGGUCGAAUAGACUUCGGGGAUGGCUGACUGAGGGGUUGCCCUAAUGUCUCACAAAUAAUUAUUCCUUCUUCAUGUUUCGUGGCAAUUGUGGCAAGUUCACUAAUACGGGUGGCGGCUUCUAUCAGUUUUCCUUUAUCUUUCUCCUUGGGCUGUGAGGAUGAUGGCUGCUCAACCACUACUACAUCAUCUGAUUAGGUUUCUGAACUAUCUCCCCUUCCUUUCUACUCAGCCUUCCCAUUCGGAAGGGCAAGUGGUGAGUCAACCUUUUUCGCCUUGUUUUUCCCUUGGUUGCGUAGCUUGUUCUGAUUAUGGGAUUUUUCUUUUGGGCAUGAGUGGAAAAUUAAUUGAUGACAACUAUUGGCGGUGGAAUUCCAAUGGUGAUAGAUCUAGCAGAUCAACCAGUGUUCAAUUGGAAUCUCGACUUCUGCAGCAUGGUAAAGUUCCGUUCUAACCUAUUUUAAGUGAAAUUGAGGGGUUUUUGAAUUUGUUGGGCACGCAAAACAAAAAAAAAUUUCGUCUGAGUGGACGGCUGAUCUUACAGAAAUAGAAGACAUCCGAUUUUCGGCAGUCUCAAAUGGGUCAAAAAGAAGUCGGUUGGGCCAGCCGUCCAUCUAAGGAGAUAAGGCAAACAGAGCCGGUCGGUUGGUUCGCCGUCGGUUGGUCCGCGUUCGGUUGGUCUGCAGUCGGUUGGUCUGCCGUCGGUUGGUUCACCGUCGGUUGGUCCGAGGUCGGUUGGCCCGUGGUCGGACCAAAUGAGGUCGGACGGUCGGUUGAUCCGGUCGGCUGAUACGGAGUUCGGACCAAGUGAGGUCGGCUGAUUCGGAGGUCGGCUGAUACGGAGGUCGGACGAAGUGAGGUCGUGCGAAGAAGAAUAAGACGGACAAUACGAGGUCGGACAAGAGACCAGAUGGUGGCCGCUUGGUGGGGCGGCCAAGGAGUCGUUUGGUCUAGCGAUCAGUUAGUCUCUGGAUUGGUCGGUUGGGUUAUGCUUUUGCCGAGACGGUUAAAGGCACGUGUCAAUGGAGGAGAAAUUGAUGGGCGGGUGAUAGCGGUUGCUGUAACCGACCAGGCGACGAUUCAGAACGUUUCCUUAGGGAAUAUUUAAGGAUUUGGGUCUGUUCUGAAAAAGCAUCUUCAAUCAUUUUCAAACAACAGUAAAGUCAGUGAUUCGGGGAUCAUCCUUUAAUUUUCAGUCUGUAGCAUUUACUUUUAAGUUUACUUAUGUAAUGUACAGUGUUUAGAGAUUCCUAAUCUCAGACACUAAUUAUAUCAAAUUCGGAGAUAAUUUCCUAUUUUCGGAUUUUACUUUUUAUUGUUGAAAAAUUGCAUCAACAAUCAUCUUGUACUCUUUCUGCCGAUUUUUUAGCUUACAAGCCAUCCAUAUUAUUGUAGUGCUUAUAUUCAUGAAUAUAGUUGUUGAUGCAAUUUUUCAACAAUAAAAAAUAAAAUCCGAAAAUGGAAAUUAUCUUCGAAUUUGAUAAAAUGAAUGCCUGAGAUUAUGAAUCUCUAAACACUGUAGGAUACAUAAAUAAACUAGCAAAAACAAAAACUACAUACUGAAAAAUAAAGUGGUGAUAAACUAUA